UACGGAGGGUGCUAGCGUUGUUCGGAAUUACUGGGCGUAAAGCGCGUGUAGGCGGUUGGGUAAGUCAGAUGUGAAAGCCCCCGGCUUAACUGGGGAACUGCAUUUGAAACUGCCCGGCUGGAGUUCGGGAGAGGAGAGUGGAAUUCCUGGUGUAGAGGUGAAAUUCGUAGAUAUCAGGAGGAACACCGGUGGCGAAGGCGGCUCUCUGGCCCGACACUGACGCUGAGACGCGAAAGCGUGGGGAGCAAAC
rnacentral:rRNA from 1 species